UGUCUGAAUGUAUCGGCAAUCGUAAACAGAUUUCUUUGUCUUCUCGCUGAAGUGGGAGUCGUAGCGAUGGAAGAACGAAGUUCAUCGGGGGAAGGAAACGAGGAUCCCUCUCUUCCUCUCUCCUCCCUGCGCCUUUUGGUUCCCCCUCUACGACUGUUCUCUGCAGCCAUGUGGCAAGUGGUGCAGCAGCGAGACAUAAUGCAUUAUGGGAAAUUGGAGGAGUUUGUGACUUUGGUGACAGAGGCAGUCCCAGAGCUGCUGAGUUACAGACAGAGGAGCCACCUGAUUCUGGCACUGCGAGCGAGGAGCUCUGAUGUGAAGGUGGAGGUGUCAGAAGCUGAUUUUGUAGAGCUGGUCCAAACC